UGACAAUGCCUCCUGUGUGUAUGAGAGAGGAAGAGGGAGAAAUGGCAGGAUGUGCUGGAGAGAAAUAAGGAAAGAAAAGGUCUAGAUAAAGGAGAGCAGUGGCUUCAUUCUGCAUGUGCUUUCACCUUUUGUAAAUGAAUCCGGUCUGAGAUGUCUAGCUCGAUGCACCUAUGUGUCUGCUUGUUGUCUAAUCUAAACGCACUCAUUCAAGCAAACAUGCGUGUAAAGAGGAGCGCGCCUACCGAUGUGUCGUUGAGCGCAUCUGUCGGCCCUGAUCAUGAGACCAGAGCAGGUGACAGAUGAGGUCCGUCACCCCCACACACACACACACACACACACACACACACACACACACACACAUGCGAAUACACACUAUGGGGAGGUAUGAAGUCCUGUACACACUUUCGUUGGCAAUCAUGCAAAGCGAUUUGAUGAGAGACAGCCUGUCGAGUUGAUUGACAGGCCUGCUAACAGGAGGUGAAGGCAGCGAUGAGGCGACAUCGAGAGCAGAAGAGCAGAGGCUGGCGAAGUUUGACUCUGGAUGAGUACGAAAAGUGAAAAUUGCUGCCGCCUUAAGACAUAUGAAGGUAGGAAGACAUUGAGAUACAUCCAAACCCAUUGUAUGCAUAACAUGUUCUGAAGUGCAUAACUAAACAAUAAAUCCCUAAAGUUGAUAUUAUAUAUAUUUACACCUAUAAAUUCUAAUCAAUUAUUAUAAUAUUUUAUUGUAAUAUCAAAAACUCGACGUAUUCAUCCUGGGCAUGCGGUUAGUAAGUUAUUUCCCCAUUUUAUGAUUCUAACAUGAAAGAAGCACUUUGUCGCUUUUUAAAUGCUUAUUUUUGUCUGUAUUAUUGGCUUAAAUGUAGUGGUGAAUUAUACCUUCAAAUAUAUUUAUUCUUACAGGACCUCAUUUGAAUUCCCUUUUUAUCUCCUUUAAUUAUAUUCAGCCAUCUCAGUAGCAUCAUUAAGUCUUUAACCCCGCUUGUAAAUGACCCAUGUAGCGUCUACAGGGUCACUGAUAAUCAGUGUUUAUGGGUCCUUGUUAAACGUGCAGGUUCAUCUUAACUAAUUAAGCUGUCUUUUCUGAGCUCAGUUCUACAGUGCACUUUUAUUGUUCAUGUGAUUAAGGAAUUAAAGGUGACAGAAUGUCUUUAUGUUCAAGAUAGAUGUCAUGAUAAAGGGAGAGACGUAACAUGUAAAAUCUGAAAAGACAAGGCAAAACUUCAGACUCCAAGAAAAAUCUCUUAAGCUUCCUCUGGAUUGGUCUAGUGAGAGUGAGUUGAAAAAUAAAAUAUCCUUUUAAAUAAGAGAAAGACAUAGAAUUUAAGUAGACAGAUCUAUAAUAAAUGUAAAUUAGAAGUGUGUAGAUGUGGUUUGUGAGCCAGAGAGAGAGAGAGAAAAAAGAGGCCAGCAGGCUGUUUGUGUAUGAGCAGGGAGCCAUGUGUAUGAACUAACGUCUUAAUUGGUGUGAAUGGCAACGUCCGCUACCUGACCAGAAUCAUUAAUCAGAGCGGAUGAGAGCUGGAGGGUGUCAGCCUCUCCGUUCACACACACACUUAAGCGUAAUGCUACUGUUACAGCUGUGACUGUCACACUCUGGUACUCGGUAAUACCAGCAAAGGCCAGAAGAGAGGAAAUGCUAAUUAAGAAACAUAGUCACAAACAACCCGGUCCCAUGGAUUCAUAGCCAUAUCAAUAC